AGAGUUUGAUCAUGGCUCAGGACGAACGCUGGCGGCGUGCUUAACACAUGCAAGUCGAGCGGAAAGGCCCUUUCGGGGUACUCGAGCGGCGAACGGGUGAGUAACACGUGAGUAACCUGCCCCUGACUCUGGGAUAAGCCUGGGAAACCGGGUCUAAUACCGGAUACGACCACCGGCCGCAUGGCCUGGUGGUGGAAAGAUCCAUCGGUUGGGGAUGGGCUCGCGGCCUAUCAGCUUGUUGGUGGGGUAGUGGCCUACCAAGGCGACGACGGGUAGCCGGCCUGAGAGGGCGACCGGCCACACUGGGACUGAGACACGGCCCAGACUCCUACGGGAGGCAGCAGUGGGGAAUCUUGCGCAAUGGGCGAAAGCCUGACACAGCGACGCCGCGUGGGGGAUGACGGCCUUCGGGUUGUAAACCUCUUUCAGCAGGGACGAAGUUGACGUGUACCUGCAGAAGAAGCGCCGGCUAACUACGUGCCAGCAGCCGCGGUAAUACGUAGGGCGCAAGCGUUGUCCGGAAUCAUUGGGCGUAAAGAGCUCGUAGGUGGCCGGUCGCGUCUGCCGUGAAAGCCCGCAGCUUAACUGCGGGUCUGCGGUGGAUACGGGCCGGCUAGAGGUAGGCAGGGGCAAGUGGAAUUCCUGGUGUAGCGGUGAAAUGCGCAGAUAUCAGGAGGAACACCGGUGGCGAAGGCGGCUUGCUGGGCCUUACCUGACGCUGAGGAGCGAAAGCGUGGGGAGCGAACAGGAUUAGAUACCCUGGUAGUCCACGCCGUAAACGUUGGGCGCUAGGUGUGGGAUCCUUCCACGGGUUCCGUGCCGGAGCUAACGCAUUAAGCGCCCCGCCUGGGGAGUACGGCCGCAAGGCUAAAACUUAAAUGAAUUGACGG
rnacentral:rRNA from 1 species